rnacentral:rRNA from 1 species
UUUUCCAGGCAAAUCCGGAAAAUCAAGGCUGAGGCGUGAUGACGAGGCACUACGGUGCUGAAGCAACAAAUGCCCUGCUUCCAGGAAAAGCCUCUAAGCAUCAGGUAACAUCAAAUCGUACCCCAAACCGACACAGGUGGUCAGGUAGAGAAUACCAAGGCGCUUGAGAGAACUCGGGUGAAGGAACUAGGCAAAAUGGUGCCGUAACUUCGGGAGAAGGCACGCUGAUAUGUAGGUGAAGCGACUUGCUCGUGGAGCUGAAAUCAGUCGAAGAUACCAGCUGGCUGCAACUGUUUAUUAAAAACACAGCACUGUGCAAACACGAAAGUGGACGUAUACGGUGUGACGCCUGCCCGGUGCCGGAAGGUUAAUUGAUGGGGU